GUAAAGGAAAACAGUUAAAGGAAAGAAAAAACAUGAAGAUCUAAGUUAUUUUCGCGAUGAAACAAUUAAAGGCAAGAAAUAAAGGAAAUUAAUGAAGCAAUAAAGUCAUGAAAACAUCUGAUGGUAAAAAGCCUAAUGGUUUCCCCAGCAGCGCCGCCAUGCCGCCGACGCUCCCUUUUUUUCCAUUCAGAAGGAGAGUCCGAAAAAUCGGGUAUACCACAUUAUGGGAGGACAACUCUUCAUUCUAUUGCAAGAAUUGGGUUUUGGAUUUAGGGAGUCUCCACCUAAUGAUUAGUGCAUUAGGACACUAUAAAGAGAUGAAGAGUUUUGAAAUGAAGGUAAACUAGAGUCUGAUAAGGGCUUAGAGAUUAUCUCGAGAGGAAGGUGUUAGGCACCCUUCAAGAUCCACUAGUGUGGUUCCCGGCCAUGCUAUAAUUGUGACUUUAAGAAGAUAGAAGAAGCAAAUAAAGUAUGCAUCACAAAUAAGUUUAAAAUGUUUUAAAAAGGAAAAGAAGAUAGCAAUGGACAAUUUUAGAAAAAGGAGUUAAUUCAAAGAAACAGAAUUAAAUAAGAAAUUGCAAAUGAAAGAAAAGGAAAG
rnacentral:lncRNA from 1 species